CAUGCAGUCGAACGGAAGGUCUCUUCGGAGAUACUCGAGUGGCGAACGGGUGAGUAACACGUGGGUGAUCUGCCCUGCACUUCGGGAUAAGCCUGGGAAACUGGGUCUAAUACCGGAUAGGACCACGGGAUGCAUGUCUUGUGGUGGAAAGCGCUUUAGCGGUGUGGGAUGAGCCCGCGGCCUAUCAGCUUGUUGGUGGGGUGACGGCCUACCAAGGCGACGACGGGUAGCCGGCCUGAGAGGGUGUCCGGCCACACUGGGACUGAGAUACGGCCCAGACUCCUACGGGAGGCAGCAGUGGGGAAUAUUGCACAAUGGGCGCAAGCCUGAUGCAGCGACGCCGCGUGGGGGAUGACGGCCUUCGGGUUGUAAACCUCUUUCACCAUCGACGAAGGUCCGGGUUCUCUCGGAUUGACGGUAGGUGGAGAAGAAGCACCGGCCAACUACGUGCCAGCAGCCGCGGUAAUACGUAGGGUGCGAGCGUUGUCCGGAAUUACUGGGCGUAAAGAGCUCGUAGGUGGUUUGUCGCGUUGUUCGUGAAAUCUCACGGCUUAACUGUGAGCGUGCGGGCGAUACGGGCAGACUAGAGUACUGCAGGGGAGACUGGAAUUCCUGGUGUAGCGGUGGAAUGCGCAGAUAUCAGGAGGAACACCGGUGGCGAAGGCGGGUCUCUGGGCAGUAACUGACGCUGAGGAGCGAAAGCGUGGGGAGCGAACAGGAUUAGAUACCCUGGUAGUCCACGCCGUAAACGGUGGGUACUAGGUGUGGGUUUCCUUCCUUGGGAUCCGUGCCGUAGCUAACGCAUUAAGUACCCCGCCUGGGGAGUACGGCCGCAAGGCUAAAACUCAAAGGAAUUGACGGGGGGCCCGCACAAGCGGCGGAGCAUGUGGAUUAAUUCGAUGCAACGCGAAGAACCUUACCUGGGUUUGACAUGCACAGGACGCGUCUAGAGAUAGGCGUUCCCUUGUGGCCUGUGUGCAGGUGGUGCAUGGCUGUCGUCAGCUCGUGUCGUG
rnacentral:rRNA from 1 species